rnacentral:rRNA from 1 species
UUAGGAAUUUUGGGCAAUGGCCGCAAGGCUGACCCAGCAACGCCGCGUGGGGGACGAAGGCCUUCGGGUUGUAAACCCCUUUUGUCAGGGACGAUGAUGACGGUACCUGACGAAGAAGCCCCGGCUAACUACGUGCCAGCAGCCGCGGUAAUACGUAGGGGGCGAGCGUUGUCCGGAUUCAUUGGGCGUAAAGCGCGCGUAGGCGGCCCCGCAAGUCGGCCGUGAAAUCUCCGGGCUCAACUCGGAGGGGUCGGGCGAGACUGCGGGGCUCGAGGUGGGCAGAGGGCAGUGGAAUUCCGGGUGUAGUGGUGGAAUGCGUAGAGAUCCGGAGGAACACCAGUGGCGAAGGCGGCUGCCUGGGCCUGGCCUGACGCUGAGGCGCGAAAGCGUGGGGAGCGAUCCGGAUUAGAUACCCCCGUAGUCC